GCACACCUGGCAGGGGUGGCGGGCACAUGGGACCAGUGGGAGCAAGCUGCGAGCGCACACUCGGGUUGUCGGCCGUGGUGGUGGUGGUGAACUCAGCGCCACGCCCUCUGCAGCCCUACCUGCGCCUUAUGCGGUUGGACAAACCCAUCUACUGUAUUUGCCAUGUACCUGGAGCAUCAGUUUAGCCGCUGAACCAGGUUGUUUUCCAGACUGGUACAUACUGUCCCUCUUUGGCACUGGAGCUGUUCUGAUGCGUGGAGCAGGCUGUACCAUUAAUGACAUGUGGGACCGUGACUACGAUAAAAAGGUUAAAAGAACAGCAAAUUGCCCAAUAGCAGCUGGAGACAUUUCAACCUUCCAAUCCUUUGUCUUUCUUGGGGGACAGUUGACCUUGGCACUGGGCAUUCUUCUGUGUCUGAACUAUUACAGCAUAGUUCUGGGAGCAGCGUCCUUACUUCUUGUCAUCACCUACCCUCUAAUGAAAGGAAUCACAUAUUGGCCUCAGCCUUGGGGCUGACUUUUAAUUGGGGAGCACUACUUGGUCUGCUAUCAAGGGUUCCUGUGACCCAUCGGUGUGCCGUAUUUCUCUGGAGUUAUGUGGACACUGAUACAUGAUACUAUUUAUGCCCAUCAGGACAAAAAAGAUGAUGCUCUGAUUGGUCUGAAGUCUACGGCACUGCUGUUCAGAGAGAAUACCAAGCAGUGGCUCAGUGGCUUCAGGGUCACCAUGCUGGGAGCACUGAGCCUAGUGGAAGCCAACAGUGGUCAGACUGCCCCCUACUAUGCUGCUGUGGCCGCCAUCGGAGCCCAUCUGGCCCACCAAAUUUAUAUGCUAGACAUCCGCAGGUCAGAUGACUGUGGGACAAAUUUACUUCCAACCACACAAUAGGAAUACUCUUGUUUUUAGGGAUUAUCCUUGGUAAAUUAUGGAAAGAAAAGAAGACAGAAGAAACAAAAAAACCUGAAGAUCACAGGGUAGAAAAUUAGCAGAUAAACUGACCAUAGUGGUACACACCUGUAACCCCAACACUCAGGAAACAGAGUCAGGAGAAUCGUGAAUUUGAGAGCAGCCUGGGCAACAUAAUUGAACUCAAGGCCAGUCUAAGGACAUAAUGAAACCAUGUCAGAAGAGCAGGAGCUGGGGUUGUUGUCCAGUGGCAGAGUACAAGUCAACUGUGCAUCAUGCUGAAGACUCUGUUCCAUCCCUAGCAGAUAAAGUUAUCUGGGAAUUAAGGCUGAUUUCAUAAACACUUUCAGGGUUGUAACCACACUGUUAGAUUUGGAUGAGCAAUCUAUUAGAGAAGAACCAGAUGAGUGAAGCAUAUUUGCCUGGACUUUAAUUUAGUUUUUCCUGGCAAAAUGCUUCCCUGCCACACAUCUUGGGACUUCAUGGUUAAAGUAGGUUUGAGUGUCUCAGUGGGUGCCAUCUUCUGUCAGAUAACAUCAUGGUUAGAGUACACCCACGUGUUUCUCAUUCUCAUCUGAAGUUUCGAGAAACAUUAGAUUGAGCCCUUUAGGAAAAAAAAGAUGUAUGUCUCUCAUCUAAAUAAAUAAAUGUGUGUGG